rnacentral:lncRNA from 1 species
GAUCAUCAUAGAGAUGGUGACUGAUCUGAAUAGAUCAGUGCAUAGAUCGCUUCCUUUCGUAAAUAAAUGAGUCUUGAAUCAACAGCAUGUGGACACUAAAGCGAGAGUGUAGCUGCUUGAUAGAGAGCAAGGGUAUUGAGCAUGAUCAACAUGAGAAGACACUAGGAUGGCUACCCACUUAUCAGUGACUUGCUUAAAGUUGCAGUGAUGUAGAUAAUUCUUUGACCUGCAGUGCCUCGACUUUUUACAGUAGGAUUGCUAUAAUUUGACUGCAUCAAUACUUAGUUACCUAGUUAUUUGAAACCUUGCCAUGCAUGUUGGCUAUAGUAGAUCCAUUAUAGGAAUAGGGUGUGCACUAAGAUGGGAUCUAUCGAUCCUGGUAGAUAGAGAGAGGUCCUAUGCAGUUCAUGAAAUUGAAUCCUAAAAUCCAUGACAUGGUAGAUGAAAGAUGAAAAGAAGUUUUCAUAAAGUUUCACAUAGACUUAAGUCGAUUGAAUUUGACAUAUGACAGAUGAAUGGAUUUGAUGAGUUAUCCUUGAUCUGCAUUUUGUUGGGACUCACGACAGAAGAACCAAACUACAUGAUAAUUGCACCUAG